UUGGUUUCAAAGGAGGGGUUUGGGGUUCCCGGAGUGAUUUCCUCCUCUCGCCCGGAAACCGAGGCACGCUCGCGGAUCCCUUAGGGUGAGCGUCGCGAUGUGCCUGGGACCGACCCAGUCAUGGCGCCGGGUCCCGCCCGACGUUGGCCUCUGGCUCUCGGCGUCGGGGAACAGGGUCGUCAACUGAGGAUUCCUAGCGGACCCAGGAAAGGGGUGAGGGACUGGCGGCCCGUCUUCCCGGCCUGCCGGUCCGUUGCCCAGUCACCUGAGGUGUCCAGGGUAGAAAGGCGAAGACUAGACUCGCCCCAGACCCCUCCCGAAAGCGCCACGCUGCCUCCCACACUUCUCCGUAGUCGCUUUGCACAUGGCGGUGAGACGCUUAGUGACGCGCCUCAGUUGAGAAAUUGAACUGGCAAAUGAACAGUUCUUGAAGACUCGAACGUCUUGGCAGCGUUUGGUGUUAUUUUAGGGGACAUGCUCUUGGGGGAAAAUAAAAUCAUGGCUCAUAUUCUAAAAAGGAAAGAGCGUUGUUUUAAGCUUCGCUGGAGCACCCGUGGGAAACGAACUGGAAUUCAGAUUUUAAAGGACUAGAGCUAUUGGCCCUUUAAAUCUAUUCAAUAGAAAGUGAAUUUGAGGGCUCCCUUUCCACAUCCUCAAGGAAACUCACGCUUGUUAAUUGCAUUAACUAAAUUAGAUGUUGAAGAGCUGAGUCAAAGAGACGUCACAGACAUUUUUAGUAUUUGCUCUUCUAUUCCUUACUAAAGGUGUAUGCCAAGUGGUGAGGGAAUGUUCAUCCCAAAAGGUCCUGCUAGCUCUAAGCCAGGUGUGGAGAUGUACGCCUUUAGCCUCAUUUAGCCUCAGGAAGAUACAGGCUGUUACAUUUCAACACUGUCAACAUUUAAA
rnacentral:lncRNA from 1 species